AUGACAGGGUGUAGGAUCGAUCCAUCUUUGCAAGUUCUCCAUACGUACAAUUUUUCAAGGAACAAGUACACAACAAUAAUUGACGUUAGGCGACCUUGCAUUCUGUCCCCCGCCUCGUGCACCGUCGUCGACAGCCGUCUGCUACAAGGAAAUCAUGGGGAGCUAGCUUCGAAUCUCAGAUCACUAGGAGAGUUUUUAAAUGACGCGCUAUCCUCAGGAUUUGGAGGAAACAGCGCUGCUCUUUCUUCCCCGGGUGCAGUAUGGUUGUUGGUAUACUUGGUAGACAACAAUGCAUGGACUGAUGAUGUAGCAGGGAGCGGAAAAACAAAUCAGGAACGCGGAGUUGCUAAUGAUCCGUCAAGUACUGUCGUGAUUACUAAAAUCCAUCAAGUACACACGUACUGUUUGGCCUGGUCAAUGGACCAUAUAUUAUUCAUUUAUUUUGCAAAAAAAAACUUUCAAUUUAAUUAUUCAACAACCAUCAAGGUGGUACAAAGAAAAUCAGAAGUAACAUAG
rnacentral:rRNA from 1 species